UUGCGACUUGUAGAAAAGCAAGGUACAUAAAUAAUUUAUCUCAAAUAUGAUAUAUUGAUGAAUUAUGUAAUAAUUCUAUUUGUCAUCCCAGAAAUUAUAUAUACAAUUAUACAUUUAAAUAUCCAGUGCUUAUAACUUAUGAAAAAACAAGCAACAAUAACAAUUUAACUCAAAUAUGAUAUAUUGAUCAUUAUUAAUGUGAUAAUUCUAUUUAAGUGUCAUCCCAGAAAUAUCUAGUGAAUAGAGAAAGGAUGAAGAAUUGCAAAACAUAGCUUCGAGGAAUUCUAAGAAUCCAGAGCAACUUGCCUAUUCAGAUUUUCUGACUCCUGAGUAUCUUCUGAGUCGUGAAUCUUACAACGGACCACUUCCACCAUAGACUUUUGGAAUACCUUUUACUGGACUCUCACAGUUUCUUAGAGUUGAAGUAAUAUGUGAGCUUGCAGAGACAACAGACUACAAAAAAGAUGAAUAAUAUUAAAUAUGUGAGCAUGAAUAUUAUAAUCAUGUACCAAGGGAGUUGGAGCAAAUA